CCCUUAGAUGUUCGGGGCCGCACGCGCGCUACACUGAAGGAAUCAGCACGUCUUUCUCCUUGUCCGAAAGGACUGGGUAACCCGCUGAACCUCCUUCGUGCUAGGGAUUGGGGCUUGUAAUUCUUCCCCAUGAACGAGGAAUUCCCAGUAAGCGCGAGUCAUAAGCUCGCGUUGAUUACGUCCCUGCCCUUUGUACACACCGCCCGUCGCUACUACCGAUUGGAUGGUUUAGUGAGAUCCUCGGAUUGGUCCCGGAGCGGUCUCUGGUCGUGCCGGAGUGCCGAAAAGAAUGUCGAACUUGAUCAUCUAGAGGAAGUAAAAGUCGUAACA
rnacentral:rRNA from 1 species